CGAUUGUAGUCAUAUGCUUGUCUCAAAGACUAAGCCAUGCAUGUCUAAGUAUAAAUGUUAUACAGUGAAACUGCGAAUGGCUCAUUAAAACAGUUAUAGUUUAUUUGAUAAUCGAAUUACAUGGAUAACCGUGGUAAUUCUAGAGCUAAUACAUGCUGGUUAGCCUGACUUUUAGGAAGGGCUGUAUUUAUUAGAUAACAAACCAAUAUUCCUUGUGUCUAUUGUGACGACUCAUAAUAACUGAUCGGAUCGCAUGGGCUUUGCCCGCGACAAAUCAUUCAAGUUUCUGCCCCAUCAGCUUUCGAUGGUAGUGUAUUGGACUACCAUGGCUUUAACGGGUAACGGAGGAUUAGGGUUCGAUUCCGGAGAGGGAGCCUGAGAAACGGCUACCACAUCUAAGGAAGGCAGCAGGCGCGUAAAUUACCCAAUCGCGACUCGCGGAGGUAGUGACAAGAAAUAACGGACCGAAGCCUAUGUUUCGGGAUUGCAAUGAGUAGAAUUUAAACCCCUUUACGAGGAUCAAUUGGAGGGCAAGUCUGGUA
rnacentral:rRNA from 1 species